GACGAACCGUGCGAACGUUGUUCGGAAUUACUGGGCGUAAAGCGCGCGCAGGCGGUCUUCCAAGUCAGUGGUGAAAGCCUGGAGCUCAACUCCAGAACUGCCAUUGAAACUGUUAGACUUGAGUACGAGAGAGGUGAGUGGAAUUCCCAGUGUAGAGGUGAAAUUCGUAGAUAUUGGGAAGAACACCAGUGGCGAAGGCGGCUCACUGGCUCGUAACUGACGCUCAGGCGCGACAGCGUGGGGAUCAAACAGG
rnacentral:rRNA from 1 species